UGCAUGUAUACUAGUUCACUCACUUUGUUUGCUGUUGGAUCGUCUGUUUAUGUUCCUGCUUUGUUCCUGUUCAUGGUCAUGGUCAAGAGUUUCUUGCCAGUGUUCCUGUCUGCCUGUCUCUACCCAUCUGUCCACAGGGUUGGACUCAAGAUAAGUGAGUUGGGUGGCUGUUGUGGAUCAGACUCUUUUGGCUGACAGUUCAACACAGUAGAUCCAGGACUUAAGCGCCGUUGUCUGCUUUUACAGCCAGGUCGACACGCUGGAUUCUGUCAGGUCACACACUCCGUAUGCCUCUCCAAGGCAUCAAGUGGCUUCAAAGCAACACUGAAUGAGCCAGCUGCACAUGUCCCUGCCAAGUCCCUCUCUGUCACAGAGUAAAGAGCAAGCAGGGGGGAAAAAAAAAAAAA